GAUGAACGCUGGCGGCGUGCCUAAUACAUGCAAGUCGAGCGAACAGACGAGGAGCUUGCUCCUCUGACGUUAGCGGCGGACGGGUGAGUAACACGUGGAUAACCUACCUAUAAGACUGGGAUAACUUCGGGACACCGGAGCUAAUACCGGAUAAUAUCUUGAACCGCAUGGUUCAAUAGUGAAAGACGGUUUUGCUGUCUCUUCUAGAUGGAUCCGCGCCGCAUUAGUUAGUUGGUAAGUUACCGGCUUACCAAGGCAACGAUGCGUAGCCGACCUAUGAGGGGGAAGGCCCCCACGGAGGGUGACAGGCGGCCCUGGCACUGAGGGAAGGCCGCGGUAGGGAAGGGAGGGAAAUGGGGGAAAGCUUGAGGAAGGAGCGGAGGGUGGGUGCAGAAGGGCUGCGGGUGGGAAACUCGGUUAUUAGGGAAGAACAAAUGUGUAAGUAACUAUGCACGUCGUGACGGUACCUAAUCAGAAAGCCACGGCUAACUACGUG
rnacentral:rRNA from 1 species